UGGGCGCACGCGCACACGAAGGCGCAGGCGCAGUCGCACGCCAGGAAGCGCGGGCCACAGCACCGCGGGUCGCCUGAGGACUUGGGUUGGUCAGGACUCGAAGCGGGCGUGGCAGCUCGACCUCUCCGUGUGACGCUGGGCUCUUGCCUUAACCCACGUUUCCCUGGGGCGCUGAUUUUGGUUUCCUCGUGCGGUGUGCCCGGCGCCGCCGCCGCGAGGUACAAAGAACAGUGCUUAUCAUACAACUGGAAAGAAAGGCAAAGAAAAAGCUUUUAUAUUAGAUUGGGCACCUGAACAGAAACUGCAGUUUUGAUAUGAAGAUGGGAAGAGGAAGAACAAGCCGGGUCAGGAGACGGAAACUCUUCAGAAGUUCUGUAUCAAGAGGAGUGAAUGAGAGCUACAAGCCUGAAUUUAUAGAGCUUAAGAAGUGGCUGAAAGAUAGAAAGUUUGAAGAUACAAACUUAAUACCUGCUUGUUUUCCAGGUACAGGAAGAGGGCUGAUGAGCAAAACAUCCUUGCAGGAGGGACAGGUGAUUAUUUCGUUGCCUGAGAGUUGCCUGCUCACCACGGACACAGUGAUUAGAAGCUACUUAGGGGCGUACAUCGCUAAAUGGCGGCCUCCUCCAUCUCCUCUGCUGGCUCUGUGUACCUUUCUGGUUUCAGAAAAGCAUGCUGGGGACCAGUCCGUCUGGAAACCUUACCUAGAGAUUUUACCAAAGGCCUACACCUGCCCCGUUUGUUUGGAGCCAGAAGUGGUGAAUCUUUUUCCCCAACCUUUGAGAGCAAAGGCCGAAGAGCAGAGAGCCCGUGUGCGAGAGUUCUUUUCUUCCUCCAGAGGCUUUUUCUCUUCCCUGCAGCCUCUGUUUUCCGAGGCUGUUGGGAGCAUCUUUAGCUACCGUGCCCUCCUGUGGGCCUGGUGCACGGUCAACACCAGGGCCGUGUAUGUGAAGCACAGGCAGAGGCGCGACUUUUCCGCGGAGCCAGACACCUGUGCGCUCGCCCCGUACCUGGAUCUGCUGAACCACAGCCCCCGUGUGCAGGUAGAAGCGGCAUUUAAUGAGGAAACUCGCUGUUAUGAAAUUAGAACAGCUUCAAGCUGUAGGAAACAUGAAGAGGUGUUCAUCUGCUAUGGCCCUCAUGAUAAUCAGCGACUGCUCCUGGAGUAUGGAUUCGUUUCCAUCCAUAAUCCUCACGCUUGUGUUUAUGUCUCGGAAGAUAUACUUGUAAAAUAUCUUCCAUCAACAGAUAAACAGAUGAACAAGAAGAUUUCCAUUUUAAAGGAUCAUGACUUUAUCGAAAAUUUGACAUUUGGAUGGGAUGGACCAUCUUGGAGGUUACUCACAGCGCUUAAGUUGUUAUGUCUGGAAGCUGAAGAAUUUACAUGCUGGAAAAAAGUACUUCUUGGAGAAAUCAUUUCAGAUACAAAUGAGAAGACAAGUUUGGACACAGCCCAGAAAAUAUGCCAUUAUUUCAUAGAGGAGACCAAUGCAGUGCUUCAAAAGGUUUCUCAUAUGAAAGAUGAAGAAGUGGCUUCGAUAAACCAACUAACUUUGGUAGAAACAUUGUGGACAGAAGAGCUAAAGAUUCUGCAGGCCUCUGCUCUGAUUCUAAACAGUUUGCAAACACCUUUUAGAGAGAGUGCAAGCUGGGGAGGAGUAGAGAGAGAAGGAGACAGAGGAUCCGAAGCAGGGGCUCAAACCCACGAACUGUGAGAUCAUGACCUGAGCCCAAACCAAGAAUCGGAUGCUUAACUGACUGAGCCACCCAGGCGCCCCUUGUUUGCAUGUUCUAGUAGGCAACUUCAUCGACCUCAUUGGGCAGACUGGCGACAAGGAGCCAGGCAGCACCCAGGGACACAGUACAGCCUCUGCGACAGGGUGUGGAGGCUUUUUAAAGCCACAUAACCUAAUAGAAGGACACCUUCCUCCACGUUCCAGACGUGUAUACGUGUGUCCUCGUAAGGAAAGGACACAGGACGUCAGAGUUCAUGGCAAGGCACUGGCGAGGGUUCGAUUCGCUCCCAGCGAGGCCCAGCACUUUUAUUCCCAGUGGCGACGGGAGAGGGCGCUCUCGGAGGGCAGAGCCCCGGUCCGACCCAACCCGUUCCUUCUGCUCCUUCCGCUGCAACAUUCACCUCCGACUUACUUCUCUGCCCCGCUCAGGCCACCUUCCGAGAUCAGGUGAGAGCUUGCCUGUCCUCAAAAUGCACGGGUGGAGAGCCCGCUGCUCUCCUGCACUAGAGGGUGUGCCUCGCUUGCCCUUCCUUGUGGCAGAGUCAGAAAACAGUCUUGGGUUUGAGUCGUGGACUUGACCUCUUGCUGCCACUGUGGGCCUGGCCUUUGAGAUCCAGUGUCUCCAUCUGCGGCUGGGGUCGUAUUCCGGAGUCACUUCAAGGUGAGCUGCUGGCCUUAAAAAGUCCUUUGAUAUUUUGGUUUAAGCUGCUGUCCCGUUUGAGGCACCGACAGAUUCAAGUAACAGCUGGAGCCCUUUGUUCCUAACUCUCUCAUCUCAAGUUUCUGGGUGGAUUUCUUUUUGGAGAUAAUAGUCUAUGAAUCACCUUUGAAAUGAGAAUUUAUCAGCUUAGGCACUGUUCUCUUUGAAUUGUCAGAGUAAGAAUAAAAGUAACUCCCUGAAGUGUUGCUUCCUAGAUCCACUGCAAAGAUGGAGAGGAAUACCCCAGCCCCCUUCAUCCCCAUCGGGGACUAGGCUUGCUUGCUUUUUUAUUUGAGUAUCCUUGACACCCAAUGUUGCGUUAGUUUCAAGAGUAUAACGUAGUGAUUCAGGAAGUCUAUACGUUAUGCUGUGUUCACAAGUGUAGCUGCCAUCUGUUAACAUACAGGUCAUUACAACACCGCUGACUGUAUUCCCUGUGCUGUGCCUUUUAUCCCUGUGACUUAUCCGGUCCAUAAUGGGAAGCUUGAACGUGCCACUCCCCUUUGCCCAUUCGCCCCACACCCUUUCCCUCUGGCAACCAUCAGCUUGUUCUCUGUAUUUGUAGGCCUGAUUCUGCUUUUUGUCUGUUUAUUCAUUUUUUUUUUUAGAUUUCAUAUAUGAAUGAAACCAAACGCCUUUUGACUAUCUCAGUCUGACUUGUUUUAUUUAGUGUAAUACCCUGUAGGGUCA